rnacentral:rRNA from 1 species
GAUGAACGCUGGCGGCGUGCCUAAUACAUGCAAGUCGAGCGAACAGGCGAGGAGCUUGCUCCUCUGACGUUAGCGGCGGACGGGUGAGUAACACGUGGAUAACCUACCUAUAAGACUGGGAUAACUUCGGGAAACCGGAGCUAAUACCGGAUAAUAUAUUGAACCGCAUGGUUCAAUAGUGAAAGACGGUUUUGCUGUCACUUAUAGAUGGAUCCGCGCCGCAUUAGCCAGUUGGUAAGGUAACGGCUUACCAAGGCAACGAUGCGUAGCCGACCUGAGAGGGGGAUCGGCCACACUGGAACUGAGACACGGUCCAGACUCCUACGGGAGGCAGAAGUAGGGAAUCUUCCGAAAUGGGCGAAAGCUUGACGGAGCAACGCCGCGUGAGUGAUGAAGGUCUUCGGAUCGUAAAACUCUGUUAUUAGGGAAGAUCAAAUGUGUAAGUAACUAUGCACGUCUUGACGGUACCUAAUCAGAAAGCCACGGCUAACUACGUG